rnacentral:rRNA from 1 species
CGGAGGGCGCAAGCGUUGUUCGGAAUCACUGGGCGUAAAGCGCGUGUAGGCGGCCUUCUCAGUCUGGUGUGAAAGCCCGGGGCUCACCCCCGGAAGUGCAUUGGAUACUGGAAGGCUGGAGUACCGGAGAGGAGGGUGGAAUUCCUGGUGUAGCGGUGAAGUGCGUAGAUAUCAGGAGGAACACCGGUGGCGAAGGCGGCCCACUGGACGGAUACUGACGCUGAGACGCGACAGCGUGGGGAGCAAACAGGAUUAGAUACCCUGGUAGUCCACGCCGUAAACGAUGGGUACUAGGUGUUCGGGGUAUUGACCCCCUGAGUGCCGCAGCUAACGCAUUAAGUACCCCGCCUGGGGACUUCGGCCGCAAGGCUA